GACGAACGCUGGCGGCGUGCCUAAUACAUGCAAGUUGAGCGCUGAAGGUUGGUACUUGUACCCACUGGAUGAGCAGCGAACGGGUGAGUAACGCGUGGGGAAUCUGCCUUUGAGCGGGGGACAACAUUUGGAAACGAAUGCUAAUACCGCAUAAAAACUUUAAACACAAGUUUUAAGUUUGAAAGAUGCAAUUGCAUCACUCAAGAUGAUCCCGCGUUGUAUUAGCUAGUUGGUGAGGUAAAGGCUCACCAAGGCGAUGAUACAUAGCCGACCUGAGAGGGUGAUCGGCCACAUUGGGACUGGGACACGGCCCAAACUCCUACGGGAGGCAGCAGGAGGGGAGCUUCGGCAAAGGACGAAAGUCUGACCGAGCAACGCCGCGUGAGUGAAGAAGGUUGUCGGGUCGUAAAACUCUUUUGGUAGAGAAGAACGUUGGUGAGAGUGGAAAGCUCAUCAAGUGACGGUAACUACCCAGAAAGCGACGGCUAACUACGUG
rnacentral:rRNA from 1 species